rnacentral:rRNA from 1 species
AUUGAACGCUGGCGGCAGGCCUAACACAUGCAAGUCGAACGAGUGGCGGACGGGUGAGUAAUGUCUGGGAAACUGCCCGAUGGAGGGGGAUAACUACUGGAAACGGUAGCUAAUACCGCCUACCGUCGGAUGUGCCCAGAUGGGCGUAGCUAGGAGGUGGGGUAACGGCUCACCUAGGCGACUAGCCCUCGCUGGUCUGAGAGGAUGAGCAGACACACUGGAAUGGAGACACGGUCCAGAUUCCUACGGUAGGCAGCAGGGGGGAAUAUUGCACAGUGGGCGGAAGCCUGAUGCAGCCAUGCCGAGUGUAUGAAGAAGGCCUUCGGGUUGGAAAGUACUUUAAGCGAGGAGGCGUUACUCGCAGAAGAAGCACCGGCUAACUCCGUGCCAGCAGCCGCGGUAAUUC